AUUGAACGCUGGCGGAAUGCUUUACACAUGCAAGUCGAACGGUAGAGGGGGCAACCCCUCGAGAGUGGCGAACGGGUGAGUAAUAUAUCGGAACGUGCCCAGUCGUGGGGGAUAACGUAGCGAAAGUUACGCUAAUACCGCAUACGAUCUAAGGAUGAAAGCGGGGGAUCGCAAGACCUCGCGCGAUUGGAGCGGCCGAUAGCAGAUUAGGUAGUUGGGGGGGUAAAGGCUCACCAAGCCAACGAUCUGGAGCUGGUCUGAGAGGACGACGAGCCAAACUGGAACUGAGACACUGUCAAGACUCCUACGGGAGGCAGACGUGGGGAAUUUUGGACAAUGGACGCAAGUCUGAUCCAGCCAUUCCGCGUGCAGGAUGAAGGCCCUCGGGUUGUAAACUGCUUUUGUACGGAACGAAAAGGUCUCUCUUAAUACGGGGGGCUCAUGACGGUACCGUAAGAAUAAGCACCGGCUAACUACGUGCCAGCCGCCGCCGUAA
rnacentral:rRNA from 1 species